CCAAUGGUGUUUGUUUUUGGCACAACACAAGUAGACCCUCUCUGUGUCUAUAUG
rnacentral:ribozyme from 1 species